UACGUAGGCGGCUUGAUAAGUCAGAUGUGAAAUCCCCGGGCUUAACCUGGGAACUGCAUUUGAAACUGUCCGGCUAGAGUGAGUGAGAGGUUAGUGGAAUUCAAGGCGUAGCGGUGAAAUGCGUAGAGGUCUUGAGGAACAUCAGUGGCGAAGGCGACUAACUGGCACUACACUGACGCUGAGGUACGAAAGCGUGGGGAGCGAACA
rnacentral:rRNA from 1 species